GCAGGACCAGUCCCAGCUGCUCUGCAAGGCACGGGCCAGGCAGCUCUUGAAGCGCUGUGCAGAGCUCAGCCCACAGCAGACGCUUCCAGGAGAUGCCGUUCCUGCAGUGCCCAAACAAUGCUGGGGCAGCUGGGAUGUGCCAGGCUGUCUCCUGCUCACCUGGCCUUCCUCCUCCUUCUCCUCCUCCUCCUGCUGCUGCUGCUGGUGCUGAGUGAGUUGGGGGCUGGCUUUGCCUUGGGACUCAGCACUGGAGGGCUGCUGAGCAGGGCAGGACAGGGCCCAACCUGGGCACAGGGCAGGACACAUGGGAAAGGGUGUGUGGAGCACAGGGGAAAGAGCUGAUUUAGGGAGGGCAGGAGGACAGUUGCUUCCUGCAGCUCCCAUGGACCUCUGAGCAACGGGAGCGGUUUCCAGCCCCUCUGAGGGAGUCUGGUUCAUGGCAUGAGACUUGGUAGAUGCUUAAGUGCUUCAGCGAGCCAGAAGCAUCCACCUGGAACCACAAAACCAACCAAAAUGGGUUUGGGGAAGUAUCAAACAGGAGACAAAGGACCUGCAGAAUGGAGCCACGUGGCUGGGAAGGUUCUGGCCCAGCACAGCCUUAGCAGUGGGAACGUGGAGAGGGGCACGGGGCCGAGCUGGGUUGCUGCCCCUCUGACCAAAACCCUCUGUGCCCCAUGGUGCAGGUGCCGAUGUGAUGGCCCAGGACAUCUGCAGCUCCCCAGGGGGUGGUGACCUCCCAGCUCCUGAUCUCUCUAUGAUCCCCACUGCUGCACAGGAUGACGAACAGGUUUUGUUUUGGUGCAUAAUUGAUCAGAAGUCUCCUGCCACCCGAAUCAUCUUCUGCAAGGAUGGGGUCGAGGUACACAGCCUGAGAGCUCAACAUCGGAAGGGGACCUACUACAUGCUCUUCCCCAUGACGAGGGGGAGCACAGGGACAUACACAUGUGGAUACCAGCACAAGAACAACAGCAAUCGAGUGAGGAACUCUCCCCUCAGUGCUUCUAAGAACCUGAGCUUCGCAGGUGCUGGUGUGAUGGCCCAGGACAUCUGCAGCUCCCCAGGGGAUGGUGACCUCCCAGCUCCGUCCCUCCAUAUGAAAGCCAAUGUCACUUUGGAUGCAGCACAGGAGGGAGAACAGAUUUUGUUUCGGUGCCAAAUAGUCAUGAAGUCUCCUGUCACACGAAUUGUCUUCUGCAAGGAUGGGGUGGAGUUUCACAGCCUGAAAGCCCAACAAAAGAAGGGAACCUACUACAUGCUCUUCACCACAACGAGGCGGAGCACGGGGUCAUACACAUGUGGAUACCAGCACAAGGACAACAGCAACCGAGUGAGGAACUCUGCCCUCAGUGCUCCCCAGAACCUGAGAGUCACAGGUGAGUCCUGGCAGUGGGGGAUGGGCAGGAAACACUCCCAGGCCCCUCAGAGCCCAGGUGAGUGA
rnacentral:lncRNA from 1 species